rnacentral:rRNA from 1 species
GACGAACGCUGGCGGCGUGCUUAACAAAUGCAAGUCGAACGAAGUGGCGAACGGGUGAGUAACACGUAAUCAACCUGCCCUUCAGAGGGGGACAACAGUUGGAAACGACUGCUAAUACCACAUACUGAAGGAGGGGAUUGCGUCUGAUUCGCUAGUUGGAGGGGUAACGGCCCACCAAGGCGAUGAUCAGUAGCCGGUCUGAGAGGAUGAACGGCAACAUUGGGACUGAGACACGGCCCAGACUCCUACGGGAGGCAGCAGUGGGGAAUUUUGGACAAGGGGCGCAAGCCUGAUCCAGCCAUGCCGCGUGUCUGAAGAAGGCCUUCGGGUUGUAAAGGACUUUUGUCAGGGAAGCGGUACCUGAAGAAUAAGCACCGGCUAACUACGUGCCAGCCGCCGCGGUAAUAC